CUUGACAUCUGAACAAAAUGACAAUAUGAUCAACGUGAGAAUUCAAAUAUGUUCCCAAUAUAAAAUAUUACUGACAACACAGGAAAAAUGUAUCUUGGGAAAAUUGCAUCAAUAAACCUUAACAGGCAAUGUAAAGAAAAAAAUAUAUUGUACACAACAUUAUGUCAAUAUAAACUAAAGAAAUAAUAGGAAGACAAUAAAAUGUAUAUAUGAAUGACUAAUCUUUGAAUUUAAAUGAUUCCUUAUGAAAAAAAUGUCUAAUUCGUAUCCAA
rnacentral:lncRNA from 1 species